GUCCGUCAGAACUUUGGUUCUGGUGGUUCUACUGGCUGAUGUUCUGAAGAUGUUCCAGGGCCUGGUCUUUGGUCUGAGAUAAACCAGGGUUUUACCCUCUGACCUUAUGAGCCUGGUCCAUGGACUGCUUCCUGAAGUCCAGCUCCUCGUCCAGAUACUCGGUGCAUGCUCUGCAGACCAGCUUUGUCCUGAUCUCCAAGCUUCAAUAAGCACGCAUCUUUUGCUUCAAAGCUGAUUUUGUCACCUCGAUGGACUCCAGCCACUAAGAGAGAAAACACAGAGAACAGAACCGACAGCUCGUUCCUCAUAUGAUGUCAUCCAACACAGAUGAAACUGUGAUUCUAACGCAAAGAAAACAAUAAACACACUGACAAAAGAAGAUGGAGUUCUUGUUAAGGAUGGAGGGUUUGA